rnacentral:rRNA from 1 species
UUGACCUCAAAUCAGGUAGGACUACCCGCUGAACUUAAGCAUAUCAAUAAGCGGAGAAAAGAAACUAACMAGGAUUCCCCUAAUAACUGCA